rnacentral:tRNA from 2 species
GUCGGGAUAGCUCAGUUGUA